rnacentral:rRNA from 1 species
AACGGCCGUACCAUGCUGAAUAUACCGGUUCUCGUUAGAUCACCGAAGUCACGCAUCAUUGGGCGCGGUCAGUACUUAGGUGGGUGACCACCUGGGAACACCAUGGCAUUGCCG